UACCAGCACCCCGAGUGGUCUGGACGAUUAUUGGUCCUAAAGCAUCCGUAGCCGGUCAUGCAAGUCCUCCGUUAAAUCCACCUGCUUAACAGAUGGGCUGCGGAGGAUACUACAAGGCUAGGAGGCGGAAGAGGCAAGCGGUACUCAGUGGGUAGGGGUAAAAUCCUCUGAUCCAUUGAAGACCACCAGUGGCGAAGGCGGCUUGCCAAUACGCGCUCGACGGUGAGGGAUGAAAGCUGGGGGAGCAAACCGG
rnacentral:rRNA from 1 species